rnacentral:rRNA from 2 species
UUCCGGUUGAUCCUGCCGGACCUGACUGCUAUCGGAUUGAUACUAAGCCAUGCGAGUCAUUGUAGCAAUACAAGGCAUACGGCUCAGUAACGCGUAGUCAACCUAACCUAUGGACGGGAAUAACCUCGGGAAACUGAGAAUAAUGCCCGAUAGAACAUUAUGCCUGGAAUGGUUUAUGUUCCAAAUGAUUUAUCGCCGUAGGAUGGGACUGCGGCCUAUCAGUUUGUUGGUGAGGUAAUGGCCCACCAAGACUAUUACAGGUACGGGCUCUGAGAGGAGUAGCCCGGAGAUGGGUACUGAGACACGGACCCAGGCCCUAUGGGGCGCAGCAGGCGAGAAAACUUUGCAAUGUGCGAAAGCACGACAAGGUUAAUCCGAGUGGUUUCUGCUAAAGGAACCUUUUGUCAGUCCUAGAAACACUGAUGAAUAAGGGGUGGGCAAGUUCUGGUGUCAGCCGCCGCGGUAAAACCAGCACCUCAAGUGGUCAGGAUGAUUAUUGGGCCUAAAGCAUCCGUAGCCGGCUCUGUAAGUUUUCGGUUAAAUCUGUACGCUCAACGUACAGGCUGCCGGGAAUACUGCAAAGCUAGGGAGUGGGAGAGGUAGACGGUACUCGGUAGGAAGGGGUAAAAUCCUUUGAUCUAUUGAUGACCACCUGUGGCGAAGGCGGUCUACCAGAACACGUCCGACGGUGAGGGAUGAAAGCUGGGGGAGCAAACCGGAUUAGAUACCCGGGUAGUCCCAGCUGUAAACCAUGCAAACUCAGUGAUGCAUUGGCUUGUGGCCAAUGCAGUGCUGCAGGGAAGCCGUUAAGUUUGCCGCCUGGGAAGUACGUACGCAAGUAUGAAACUUAAAGGAAUUGGCGGGGGAGCACCACAAGGGGUGAAGCCUGCGGUUCAAUUGGAGUCAACGCCGGG